AUUGAACGCUGGCGGCAUGCUUUACACAUGCAAGUCGGACGAGUGGCGAACGGGUGAGUAACGCAUCGGAACGUACCGAGUAAUGGGGGAUAACUGUCCGAAAGGACAGCUAAUACCGCAUAAUAUGCGAUCGGGCGAGGCCUUAUUAGCUGGUUGGCGGGGUAAAGGCCCACCAAGGCGACGAUCAGUAGCGGGUCUGAGAGGAUGAUCCGCCACACUGGGACUGAGACACGGCCCAGACUCCUACGGGAGGCAGCAGUGGGGAAUUUUGGACAAUGGGCGCAAGCCUGAUCCAGCCAUGCCGCGUGUCUGAAGAAGGCCUUCGGGUUGUAAAGGACUUUUGUCAGGGAAGCGGUACCUGAAGAAUAAGCACCGGCUAACUACGUGCCAGCCGCCGCGGUAAUUC
rnacentral:rRNA from 1 species